UAAAAGCUCCUCGGAAAAAAGUGAACGAAAUAGGUUCCAAGGAUGAAAGGCCCAAUAAAUUAAGAAAUUAACCUUGUGUUGUUGUUUGUGGUUUGGAUACACAUAUUUUUCUAUUUUUUGUAUACAUACUUGUAGUAUAGACUAUAUAUAUUUACUUUUUCUCAAAAAUCUAGGGUAUUUAUUUGAAUACCCAUGAAUCAAUAGUGGGCUCGUCCCUACCUAGACCCACCUAGAACGUACUUCCUGUGUUAGAGAAGUGCUUUUAGCUUAAGUAAUAAGACAUAGGGAGCUAUUCAGACACGUGCGUCUAGAUUUGCAGGGCCAUGCUGUCGUAUUUCAAUACGAUGUGGUCACAAAAUUUAAGC
rnacentral:lncRNA from 7 species